CCUCUAACGGUGGUAGUUGCAACAACAUCCGUAAAUCUGCUAAUCCAACGAGUGAGCGAUGUGCAAAUAACCUCGGAAGAUGCAUAUUUUUAACUGUUGCAUUUCUCGUUCAAUGACAUCACACAGCAGCCGACUGCGUCGAUAAGAAAAGUGCAGAGCCAUCGUGGAUGUCUAGUGACGUAUCCGCUUCGGAGGUUGCCCGCUUCAUAGGCAAAACAUUUGGCGCAGGCGCGGCACUGACGGCUGCUGUCUACUUAGUCCGCAAAGUCUGCCUAAUAAUGGCGUGGAAAUCCGGAGGAGCUAGCCACGCAGAGCUCGUCAACAACCUCCGCAAAAAUGGCAUCAUUAAGUCCGACAAGGUCUAUGAAGUGAUGCUGGCUACAGACCGGUCCCAUUUCUCCAGGUGUAACCCUUACAUGGACUCACCACAGUCCAUAGGAUACCAAGCAACCAUCAGCGCCCCACACAUGCAUGCCUACGCACUGGAGCUCCUCCACGACCAGCUGUACGAGGGCGCCAAAGCUCUGGACGUGGGCUCCGGCAGUGGAAUCCUCUCUGUUUGCUUUGCACGAAUGGUAGGUCCUAAAGGGAAAGUCAUUGGCAUCGACCACAUUAAAGAGCUAGUUGAUGAUUCGAUAAACAACGUGAAGAAAGACGACCCCAGCUUGAUCACGUCGGGGAGAGUUACACUAACAGUUGGAGAUGGACGACUGGGCUACACGGACGAGGCGCCAUACGACGCCAUCCACGUUGGUGCAGCAGCAUCAACGGUCCCCCAAGCUCUCCUGGACCAGUUGAAGCCCGGCGGUCGCCUCAUUCUGCCGGUGGGCCCGGCGGGCGGCAACCAGAUGUUGGAGCAAUACGACAAGCUGGAGGACGGCAGCACCAAAAUGAAGCCCUUGAUGGGGGUGAUAUAUGUGCCUUUAACAGACAGAGACAAGCAGUGGUCCAGGUGGAAGUGACUUCCUUCUCCUCCCCAUCCCCUCCUUCCCUCCUCUACCCUUCUCUCCUUCUCACAGCGGAAAAGGUGAAAUGGGGCGUGGCUUGGAGCAGGCAACGCAUCACAAGGGGCUGCCUUUUUUGCUGCUUGUUGACACAUUUUGCUUCUUCCAUACCAUGCCUUUGUAGCUGCACGUUUCCUUCCUUCAUUUGAUUAACACCUUAACAGUCACACAUUGGGAUGAACUCUGAACAGGAAGACAGUCCAUAAUCUCACCAUUUUUUUUUUUUUUUUUUGAAACCUGGAGGAAACUCAGACUGGGGGGAGUUGUUGCCGCAGUCUUUACAUUAAAACGUGUGAUGGACUAUAUAGAGAUGACGUGCCCCUUUUACAUGCAUAGUAUUAACAUUUUCAGAGAACGCCGGACUUUUGAUGAUGGAACGCCUGAGCUUUUUUUUUUUUAGCUUAUUCACAUAGCUACAGCGUGUGCGUACGGAUCACCUAACGUUCAACCUCCCUGCUAAUAUAUAAGCUGUCCCCGCCCUCCCUACUGAUAGCAGUAUUAGCAACACACACACAGAGAAAAGCAACACAAUGGCCGUUUUGCUUCCCAUCCAAAGAGCAUCUUUAAACACCCAACACAUGCAUGUGCAAAGAUGCGCUUUCCACCUACGUCACACAUGCAAGUGACGGAACAGGAUAGUCACUGCUUUGCCAAAAUAUAAAGCAAAUGAAUGUCUGGUGUCUUUUGGGGAGGGAAAUACAUGGAAUCUUGAAGCACAUUUUAUUUUGAGUGAUGAUAAAUAUGGCUGUCAACAAUUUCUGGCAUGGCAUAUGACAAUAAAGAGUUGCUUAUGUUUUGUCA